UCUAUUGGUGUGUGUAUCAAUUUGAAAUUUGAAAUUCAAAUUGCAAGAGAUACACUCACAAGUUCCUUCCUCUUUUUCAAGUAUCCCCUUUCUUCUUCCCAAAAAGCUCUCAACGUAGAAACUUUUCGAUUAUCGGCUCCAAUUCCAUUUCCGACCUCCUCAGCUAGCGGUUUGAGAAAAUAAAUCGAUCAACAUGCUUCUCAUCCUCUCCUCUUCAUUUCUCCUAUUUUUAAAAUUCUUUUAGAGAAAUCCCCAGCUUGGUUAAAUCCAAAACCUCUCUCUUCUUUUCUAUAGGUCUCAACGAAGACCGCACCUAUCGAAAAGCUAUUAACCUAGCAAGAACAUGGGCUCACAUCAAAAAAGCUUCAUUGGAUCAUUUUUCAUUUGAAACUAUAAAGCCUUUUUCAAGAUGAGGGUUUUCUUUUCUUUGUUUCUCUUAUUUUCAAGAUGCAUUUUUAUUUUGUGAAAUUGAUGUUAAUGUUUUUGUUUUGAUUUUGCAAAAUUUGCAAGAUAUGCGUUUGAUAUAUGAUUUAGCUUUAUUUUAUUGAGUCUACCUAAGAAGAAAGAUUUAGUUAUUAUGCAGAAAAUAGUUUUGGAGCAUUCUUAUAUAGGACCUUUCUUAUUAGUAUGUACAUGUCCAGGUCCUUCUAACACCAUUGAUUUGAUUACAUACUAUGUUUGCUGAUUUGUAUUAGAAGUGUUUGUAUCACAAUGUCACUUAUGUUUCUAAUAUUUUAUUUUCAUUUUACCAACUUCACAAGAAGACAAAAUCAUAUAUGUUUUAUUGUGGAGGUUUGUAGAGACAAAUCUAAAUCUAUACUAGCACAUUUCUUCCUUCAUUUUUUUUAUUCUUCCUUUGUCCUUUUUUAUCUCAAGUUUCUUUUUUUUUUUUUUCUUUUCAACUUCUGCAGGAAUUUCUGCCUUUGCCCCUCCCUCUUCUCUUUGCCAACAUGUUUUGUGUCAGAUGAAGAAACAUCAUUUCCUUCUCCGUUUAAAAAUAGCAAGCACAAGACCUAGAGUCAUAUUCAGAUAUCAUGAAGGCCAAAUUUUGGUUGCAACUACUCAUUUCCUUCCACAUUCUUACAGUAUAUAGGAAGCUUGAGGCCCUAGCACUGAGAUGGAGUAUUGAGAUGACUACUACUUUGCAUUUCAUGUUAUUUAUGAGAGAAAUUGUUAAGAGGUUUCACAGGCUUGGAAAAAGAGGUUUGCGCACAAUCUUAUUUAUUUUGAUGUGAUUAUAUGUUACUUUCAAUGGCUAAAUUAUGCAUCAAAAUGGCUCACUGAGUUUGUUAUGUGCGAGAAGAAUGGGCAACAAAGAGUUUGAUGCCUUGGCUUCUUUAACUUUUUGGUCUAAGGAUAGUUAUUGGAUAGAAGAGGUUGUUCCUCAAGUGUCAAAUAUUGUCCAUGUUGAUGUAUUAAACUAUUUUGACCCAAUACAAUGUUCUCUCUUUAAAACAAAGUUGGUCUCUAUCAUAUUUUUGUCCCUUCAUGAA